AUGCAGAAACUCCUGGCAGUGUCCUUGGUGACCUUGUGUCUUCAACUAGUGCGUGUGAACAGCCAACAAGGAGAGGUUCUUCAGGCCCUGAGCGUCCAGGAGGGUGAAAAUGCCACCAUCAGCUGCAGUUACAAAUCUUCUAUAAGGAAUCUACAGUGGUAUAGACAGGUUGCAGGUGGAGGCCCUGUCCUGCUAAUUUGGAUGCAAUCAAAUGAGAGAGAGAAACACAGUGGAAGACUAAGAGCCGCCCUUGACACCUCCAGCAAAAGCAGCUCCCUGUCCAUCACUGCUGCCCGGGCCGCGGACUCUGCUGCUUACUUCUGUGCUACAGACUCACGGUGUGCAGCAGGCCACUGCAGCUGCACACAAACCCCACCAGGGCUGCUUCCUGGCAGCUGUGAAGGUGGGUGA